rnacentral:rRNA from 1 species
UACGUAGGGGGCAAGCGUUGUCCGGAUUUAUUGGGCGUAAAGAGCGUGUAGGCGGCCAAACAGGUCAGCUGUGAAAACUCGAGGCUCAACCUCGAGACGUCGGUUGAAACCGUUUGGCUAGAGUCCGGAAGAGGAGAGUGGAAUUCCCGGUGUAGCGGUGAAAUGCGUAGAGAUCGGAAAGAACACCAACGGCGAAAGCACUCUGCUGGGCCGACACUGACACUGAGAGACGAAAGCUAGGGGAGCGAAUGGG